GCUGACUGGCUGAGCCGUUUGGGUUCUCAUUGGCUGAGGUCCGGAAGUGCGGGACCUUGGCAAAGCGUUUGUCCAACCUAACUGGUUGUGGGGGCCGGGUUCUUGGGCAGAUAGGGGACCUAUGCGCAGUUGGGGGCUAUGAAAGCCUAGGCCGUUGUCAUUUCUUCUCCCCCUACACUGUCUUCUGUUUCCUCCCAUCCGUUUUUUGACGCUUGCCAGAGCUCAAAGACGUGGCGACAUAGUCUGAGUAAUAGCUGAGAAUGAAGCCGGCUUCUCGUGUUCCUCACUCUUUAGAAAAGUGAAGACUGUGGACAACCUUGCUUCUUGCACAUGACAAAACAGACCAGAUUCUCCGUCUGUUUAUGGUUUUCAAAGCUCCACGUCCUCAAAUUCCAGACGCCAGACGUCAACACCAGCUCCCCUCUUUCUUCCAUUCAAGUUAGCUCAGUGGUUCUCAAAUUUCAGCAUCCGAAUCACCUGGAUGCUGUUGAAACACAUUUCUGGGUCCCACCCACAGAACUUCUGAUUCUGUGCACCUGGAUGAGGCCCAAAAGUUUUCAGUUCCAUCAUGUUACCAAGUGAUGUGGAUGUUACUAAUCAGCGGCCAUGCUUUGCUUUAUAUAGAAGGGCUGUGCCUCUCUUUAAUCUCAGGAGUUUGGAAUGAAUAUCUCUUAUUUGUUGGCUUCAAAAUUUCAUAUGCAUACUUUCAAGUUUAUUAACUGACAUGUUUGAAUCUUCCAGACCUUCUUUUUAUGUUGCUUCGUCCUGAUUGCUCUGCCAGUUCUUGAGAAAGGUUACCAGCUCAGGGAAUGGACUGUCCUGGAGACAGAAGCUGGAGUCUGGGAGCCUCAAGACCAAUGCACCCCAUCUCUCUGGAAAGUCUGGGAGAGGACACGAUCAUUCUAGCACCAGUUUACGAGUAUGCAAUUUCACGAAAAUAAUUUAGGAGAUUUCAUGAAACUGGUAUCUUUUUAGCAAAAUUCAAACGACAUGGCCUCAAACACAGAGAGAAAAUUACAAUAAAACAAUCUUUAAGGAAGAAAUUGAAAACUUUGCAAAAGAUGCCGAACGUCCAAUCCCUCAAAAAGCUAAGUCAAGGUUUUUUAAAAAAACUGACGAACGUGUGGGUGACGGCUGUUAAUCUUGGAAUAUCAGAGGACAAGAGUACAUCCUCAAGGAAGAUUGGUGUCUUGUUUCGAUAAGUAAAUACAAAUUUGUUAAAAUUUUAAGGGUAAAUAGGAAAGAAACAGAAACAGGUGGUGAGGCCUUCAACCCACUGAGAUGGGGAGGAAAAGAAUCCAUAAAAUGUGUUCCAUCCAGCAAACUUCGGAAAUGGAGGGGGAAGGAGGAAACAAGGACCUCGUCAAGUUUCCUCAAGUUGGGUGUCAUUUCUCCCGUUUGGCACUGGGAUGUGCGACCCUGGAGGUUGCUCUACGUGAGGCUUGAGAAUGGAAGCAGACUCCAGCCUGAGUUCUUUUCAGGAAGAAGAUCCACCCUUUCUGCAGCUUGUCCAAGACGGUGAGACACGGGAGCUCCCUCGCUCUGCCCUUGCCUGUGUGUUCUUCUCGGCAAUAAUGUCGUCCCAUGUGCGAUGGGGUGGCUCUGUGUCCCAUCCCAUGGGAUGACUCAAGUAAAAUGAAAGCCACGAGCACUUCAUUCCUGUUUUUGAGAGUCCUUCUUUGUCACCUCAGCUAACAAAUAGGCUUAGUGCCUUUUUUAAAGAGCCCUGUGCUGCUGUGUCAUCAAUAUAAUUGGUCCUUGUGGGGUGGGCUCAGGAGGAAGAGAACAAACUGUUUUGCCCACCAUAGUCCCUUAGCUAACUGGGCUUCAUCUGUGCCAAGGUCUUUUAUCCUACAUGGGGGUUGUUUCUUACUGGCUUAUUUAAUCCUAAAGUCUAGUCGGAGAAACAGGAGCCUAUUCAUAUUGGGUCAACUACUUUAUAUUGCUAAAUGUGGUAAAUUUAGUAACACCAGGGGGGAAAUGUUCUACUUGCUGAGGCUGAGCAAUGCAAGAUUGUUACUUUUGUUUCCUUUCCAGAGCCCUUGCAGGGCAGAAACACUGAUCCUGCCUCUUCUCACCUUAUCUCCCAGUGUGACGCAAUCAUAGAGUGUCUAAAGAAGUUUCCAAGAGGUUCUUUGUUUUGCUUUGACAGUUUCCAACAUAACCUGUGCUAAGCACAAACACUGACCAGUAUGCAUCAGAGUCACGGCAGGAUAAGCGUCCUAGUUGGGGUUCCCCCCCCCCCCACCAAAAAGCCCCAGAGAGUUCAAGCAAUAUAUUUGGUGAUCCCAAGAGACAUGGGCAAGAGAGCAGAGAAGUGAGACAGGGAAAGAAAGACGGCCAAUGAAGGCUGUUUUAUCAAGGAAGAAUGACUGGAGCUUCAUCACAUGGAGGAAGUCUGGGAGCCCGCAUAAAAUGUGCGUUGUCCUAAGGUGCUAAGGAUCAGAGACUUCUGGGACCAGGUCCCCCAGAGCUUCCAGGCCACUAUACUGAGGAGGGCAGCCUUCAGUGGUCAGAAGAGGCAGUCUGCAAAGGACGUGCAGGUGCUGGCAGUUGGACACUGGCUGCACUAACCGGUGAGGCCACAGGACAUUUGGGCAGAGUACCAAGUGUGUCCCUCACAUCACGUUUUCUCAAUUAAGUUAAUUCAGAUGUCAUAACACAGUGCAAUGGUGAUGCCUAUUCCUUGCCUGAUGGUGAGCAUCUUUCCUCUCUAACAGACCCCGAGUCUCUAUAGUCACAUGACUCGGCUGAGCCAAUGGUAUGACCUCAUGCUUCCUGGUGAAGCCCAAAGGGAGCUUCACAUAAGCUUAUAAUUUGAACUGAUAAAGCAAUUUUUUUCUUUAUAAUUUUCAAAAGGACACAAAAUAAAUGAAAUGAAAAAACACAUUUUGUGUAUGUGCCCAUUUGUCAGACCCCCUGUGGCAGAAAACGCUAGCUGAGCACCAAAAUCUAUUCUCCCCUUCUUCCUGGUUGCCCAGCUAGACUACAUUUCCCAGCCUCCCCGCAGUGUCGGUAGCAUGUAACUAAGACCUGUAGCCAGUGAAAUUUGAGUGGUGGUGAUACACGUGUUCCUGCCAGGCCUGGCUCAUGGGACCUCCCCUACAGGCACCUCUAUGCUCUUUCCCCGAGCCCUUCACUGAGUUGUUGGUCUUGCCCAGGAUGACCCAAGAUGGCAGAGCCACAGUUGG